GUAGAGCGAGUUUCUUCAACACCGUGCAGGUGACCCUGACGUCAAGUGCUAACAACACCUGUGGAGGCCUACUCAGCAGCGGCAUCUCACUCGGUUCUCCUUUGACAGAUGAUGAGACUGAGGCUCAGAGAGGCCGCUUGUCCUCUACUGGGUAGAAAGCCAGUAAGGACAGACCCGUGUCUUGUCCACUAUGCGACCCUGUCCCAUUGGGGGUUUCCUGACCACACAGAGGCCUUUGCCCUCACGUGUUAACCACAGCAGCUUUAAUAUAUACACACCAGAACAGCAUUCCACGAGGACAUCUGUACAGGACGAUCAGAACCAUCAGAACCAUCCCUGGCUGUACCACACGCUAAGGCCGUACUGCAUGUCCCAGGGGAAGGUUUCUCUUGCCUGACUCCCUCUCACCUCCCCAGAAGAAAGGAUCUGAUGGAAUAGAGCCUGUCUUGUCU